UAACAAGGAUUCCCCUAGUAACUGCGAGUGAAGCGGGAAAAGCUCAAAUUUAAAAUCUGGUAGCCUUUGGUUGCCCGAGUUGUAGUCUGGAGAAGUGUCUUCCGCGCCAGCCCGUGUACAAGUCUCUUGGAACAGAGCGUCAUAGAGGGUGAGAAUCCCGUCUUUGACACGGACUACUGGUGCUUUGUGAUGCGCUCUCAAAGAGUCGAGUUGUUUGGGAAUGCAGCUCAAAAUGGGUGGUAAAUUCCAUCUAAGGCUAAAUAUUGGCGAGAGACCGAUAGCGAACAAGUACCGUGAGGGAAAGAUGAAAAGCACUUUGGAAAGAGAGUUAAACAGUACGUGAAAUUGUUGAAAGGGAACCGCUUGAAGUCAGUCGCGUCGUCUAGAACUCAACCUGGCUUUUGCUUGGUGCACUUUCUAGUUGACGGGCCAACAUCAGUUUUGACCGUCGGAAAAAAGCCUUUGGAAUGUGGCACCUACGGGUGUGUUAUAGCCUUUGGUUGUAUACGAUGGUUGGGACUGAGGACCGCAGCACGCCUUUAUGGCCGGGAUUCGUCCACGUACGUGCUUAGGAUGUUGGCGUAAUGGCUUUAAGCGACCCGUCUUGAAACACGGACCAAGGAGUCUAACAUGCCUGCGAGUGUUUGGGUGGUAAACCCGAGCGCGUAAUGAAAGUGAAAGUUGGGAUCCCUGUCGUGGGGAGCACCGACGCCCAUACCAGAACUACUGUGACGGAUAUGCGGUUGAGCAUGUAUGUUGGGACCCGAAAGAUGGUGAACUAUGCCUGAAUAGGGUGAAGCCAGAGGAAACUCUGGUGGAAGCUCGUAGCGAUUCUGACGUGCAAAUCGAUCGUCAAAUUUGGGUAUAGGGGCGAAAGACUAAUCGAACC
rnacentral:rRNA from 1 species